AUAUAACCUAUUGGUUAGAGCGUCCGCCUCGGAUGCGGGAGUUCGUGGGUUCGAUCCCCGGUCGAAACA